UGGGGAAUAUUGCACAAUGGGCGCAAGCCUGAUGCAGCCAUGCCGCGUGUGUGAAGAAGGCCUUCGGUUGUAAAGCAACAUUUCAGCGAGGAGGAAGGUGGUGAACUUAAUACGUUCAUCAAUUGACGUUACUCGCAGAAGAAGCACCGGCUAACUCCGUGCCAGCAGCCGCGGUAAUACGGAGGGUGCAAGCGUUAAUCGGAAUUACUGGGCGUAAAGCGCACGCAGGCGGUUUGUUAAGUCAGAUGUGAAAUCCCCGGGCUCAACCUGGGAACUGCAUUUGAAACUGGCAAGCUAGAGGUCUCGUAGAGGGGGGUAGAAUUCCAGGUGUAGCGGUGAAAUGCGUAGAGAUCUGGAGGAAUACCGGUGGCGAAGGCGGCCCCCCUGGACGAAGACUGACGCUCAGGUGCG
rnacentral:rRNA from 1 species